GCUAGCCUAGUGCAUGGUUGUACGAUCGUGUGAAGUGUGCUCUGCAACUCUAAGCCUAGGUACUUCGACGCUCGUCAGCAAACUCCUUUGUUCACAUCGUGAGGAUUUCGCUUGCCUGCGAUAGCCCCCACUCUGCCUUCGUCGUCCUCGCCGAUGGCAUCGAAGUGCGGAAAACAGUACCAUUGGUUAACGAUGGAGAAGAAAGCCGCCAUUAUUAAGUUAGUGAAGAGUGGCCGAUCGCAGGCUGACGUGAGCAAGGAGUUCGUUAUUUCCAAGCAAACAGUUUCCGGUUUUCUGAGGAACAAAGACAAGAUCUUGGAAGCGGCCGAAAAACCGUCUGGUGCCCAAAAGAUGAAUGCAAGCUAAGGUGUUCGUCCAAAGCUUGAGGACGCUCUCGUCGUGUGGCUUAAUUCAAUGAUUGCCAAGCGGUUGCCUGUCUCGGGCUGCAUCUUUAAACAAAAAGCGGAAACUCUCGCGCUUCGAAUGGACAUCACGGAUUUUAAGUUCAGUGAUGGAUGGCUGAGAAACUUUAAACACCGGAAUGACCUCAAGUUCAAGAAGAUGUGUGGCGAAAGCGGCACCGUCGACAGUGCAGUUAUUGCGCAGCACCGCAGUAGAAAACUCCAGUCUUUGUUGCAGCAGUUCUCUGCUGACAACAUUUUCAACUGCGACGAAACUGGCUUGUUUUACAAGCUGCUGCCGGAAAGAACACUCGCUUUUGAUAGUGACGCAUGCCAUGGUGGCAAGCAUAGCAAAGAACGGCUGACCGUUCUUGACGGCAGCAACAUGUCUGGCAGCGAGAAACUUCCUUUGUUAGUAAUUGGGAAGUCCAAGAGCUCGAGGUGUUUUAAAGGGGCAGCGCUGCCAAUGUUAUACGAAGCCAACAAAAAGGCAUGAGUAACCCAGCAGUUGUUCGAGAGUUACGUCUGCAGGUUGGACAGGAAGUUUGAACAACAGAACAGACGUGUUCUGCUCUUCGUUGACAACUGCACUGCUCAUAGUCACAUCAAUAACCUGAGGGCUAUCCAGCUGGAAUUCAUGCCGCCCAACACGACUGCGAUCCUACAACCGAUGAACUAAGGCGUUAUCCGUAAUCAAACUUUUGUACCGUUCACGUAUACUCAACCGCAUGGUGCUGUGCUCUGAAAACGGAAAAGGCUACAGCGUUGACCUUCGGUCUGCUGUCGGAAUGCUUGCGGAUGCAUGGAAGGCAGUAACUCAAGACACGCUUCGCAACUGCUUUCGCCACGCGGGCUUCGUACUCGACACAGAGGCAGCAGACUUGCCUGAAGAAAGCGAGAGUGUGACAGACUUGUGCCCUCUCAUGGACGAUAUUAUCAACGACCUCCGCUCUGCUGGUGCUACCCAUGCCCACGGAAAUAACCUUUGAGCGAUUCGUCGACGCUGACAAUGAGCUUGACUUCUGCGCAGAACUAACCGACGACGAAAUAGUCAGUCAGGUUGUGGUGGAUUCAGACGACUCCAAUGUCGAAAAAGAGGAACCAACGCCUGUGCCACCUACGACCGGGAAAUUGAUGCGAGCAUUGAUGACGCUGUCAUCGGUGUACAGUGAUGACAUGACCCUUGCUCAGAUUGAGGCGAAUAUGAUCACAUGCAAGUGGAACGUCAUUCAAACAAGGAUCAACGAGUUUUUCAAGCCACUGCAGCUCUAACACCGGCUGGCCUGACGGCACCCCCUGUCGGCUGCAUGCAUUUUUUUUUUUUAACGGCUGUUUUCAGAGCCACCUCUCUGAUGCUUUGGCAGUUCCGGAAGUCUGUUACUUCGACCUUGACCUUCUUGAUCCGAGAAAUAUCAAUGAAAUGGUAAGCUAUUUGUUCCUGAAGAAUGUCAGCAGUGCUAAAUAUGGUGUGGAUAAAAAGCCCCAUCAUAUUGUACUAAUGUGGUUACAAAGAAGUACUGCUGGGCCGCUGAGAACAAUUUUCCAUUUAAAAGCCUGCAAUUGUGCUGCUGCUUCUGCUUGAUGAGACAUACUCUGUUCAUAAAACUGAUGCAGCUGUUCCGGACGUAACAAAUGGAUGGCUCGUCUUUGCUUCAGAUCAAGAAGGUGCACCUAUGCGAGAAGGCAUGCCGCUACGAUAGACGACUUCAAGAGAAGCCCCAGCAACACUUCAGAAUCACAAGGGUUUGCGAAAUGGAAAAAUGGCAUAUUGCCUUCUAUAUAUUACGUGUAAAAUAAACCGGAAGCUCUAAAAAUGAAA